UAGCAGACAAAAGUGGCAAUAUUCCUUUCAAAGAUGUCAUCGAGAAUAGUGUUGGGUGUCAUUUUUCUCGUCCUUAUAGCUUCCUUGGUAGUCAGUGCAGCGAAUCAGAUACAUUUACAAAAGCGAGCAGCGAACACUUCAGCACCGGCGCCUUCAGGCCCCACCACUGCAAGACCAGAUAGCGGAGUGAGUUUUAUUACGCCCUACCUGACUGUCACUUACACCAUGUCUUUGAUAUCCCUUUUUGUCUUGCUUAUGAGGAAUUUACUUCUGUUUUAAAAGUUCUUGGAACAACUGCCAAGAAAUUACUAUGAUGAGAGAUGAAUAAUAUCUCUCGGAGUGCAUGUUCAUUACUUGUGUUAAAUGUAUUUAUGCUUGUAGCUAUAAAUGGUAUACGUCAAUUUUUUUUUUUCUUCACUCUCUGUAAAGUAAAUUUCCUUUCAUUGAAAAAUAUGAGAAUCAUAUUUUCAAUAAUAAAGUUGGUAAAAAAUA